CAACCCAUCUCAUCCUAAGCUAUGAUUCGCUCAGUGCACGUGUCCAGCAGGAGCACAGCCAACCAAGCCCACCUCUCUUCAAAAAUUAUUUUCCUUCUCUUGCUCCUUGGGCCUAAUAUUUUUUUUCCACUGAAGCCCAUCUAGCGAUCACACCUCAACCCCAGGCGCAUGGACGUGCUCGUCUCCUUCCUCUGCACGUUCAAUCUGGAGCAGUGGAGCAGGAACAUAACAGAAACGGCCAUGGCUCCCCACCUCUUCCUCUCCUCCUCCCACUCAAUUCAUUCCCCAUUACGACUUGCCACCAAUACAAAAAUUAUUGAGGAAUGUCAAGAGAACUCAUUCAGGGAAUUAAAACUCAAUUUCGUUGCUUUAAUUGGACGCACGGAGCCGUGAAACGUACACGCACAAACUGCCAUUAUUGGCCACGAUGAGCUCUCUUGAUCUCCAUCUCCCGGCCUCCCCUUCCUCUAUAAAAGGAACCCUGAGUAGCGCCUCGAAGCCUCCCACUUCCUCUCCAGAAACCCCUCUCCAUCUCCCUCCCCAUGGUUGUCAAUUUGUAGCCGGAGUCCGAACUCUGCCGCAGCUUCCGACGAAGUUUCAGUCACGUGUGCCGGAGCUCACGAACGGCGACGAGUACAUCCAACCGGAAACUCCGGCGAACUCCAGCGGGUUCACACGGCUUCCCGAGGACGAAUUGGUCGUCAACGACGACAUCACCUUCAUCACCGCGUGGUGUACUUCACCGUCCGCCUCUCCUACUCGCCGGAGCACGCCCCGACCGGACCUCCUUCCCCCGAUAUAUCGUAACGAGAAGGAGAGACGACUCAAUAUAAUAUUUCAUCUUCAUCAACAGUACAAGGCAAGUUACUUCUCGAUCAUGCCCUUUUAUACCUAUGUUUUAUAUAUGCAUUUAGUCCUUUGAUGUAGGGUUUGCAUGAAUAUGUUAGUUGGCUAUAUUAUAAACCCAGUAGUGCAAUGAGGUAGGUCUGAGCCUUUACUUCUUUGUCGCCAACGUUGUAGGGAUUUUGCUAUGCCAUUGUAG